UGCAGACAUUUGACAAAAGAAGGUUAAGUGGGAGCUGGGUGUCGAAUACUGCUGUUUUUGACUUGAAAAUGUGACGCCCCUGAGUUUAUGUAUUGAAGACCAAAGGAGACCGUAGCGGCGAUGACUGUUUCAAAAUGCGGUUUAACAUUACGACAGAAAGUUGAAUAAAUCGAGGGUGUGAAGCGACUGGCAGUUAAGUUUUAAUUUGCUUUCGGGGCCGCAGUCGGAAGCUACUAUAAACAACGGAUUUCAAAAUGAUUUUUACUGGUGCAUACGGCAUCCUUUCUACGUAUUCAUGUCGCUUCGUUUUUCAGGUUAGAUAUGUUGGGAGAAUCAAACUGGAUUCCUACCUUUCUUUUUUCUGAUAUCUGUCCAGUGCUACUCAUCACAACAUAAUUAGCAAGAAGAAUGUAUUCAGGGAGACUGGUCUUUUAUCCCAUGACUCAACACUUCUAUAACAAGAUCAAAGAGAUAAGCAGUGUCUUGAAGAUUGACUGACACAACGCAACAUCAUGAAUUCUCUUGUAAGGAUGAAGUAUAUUCUACCUGCUGUUAUAUACAGCACAAACAAAACAGAACAAAAGCAACAGACCUGUUCAAGUCUUGGGAAAGAUACAGCCACAAGAAUGCAUCCAUUUUCACCAGAUGCAUCUGACACUGCAUCCUCUGAGGAUGGCAUAUUUACUGCCUCCACACCCCCUGUAGCAUUCAGAAGCCUUUUGUACCCAGUACCGCUGAUAACGUACCCAGGGGAUGAGCCAGCAGAUGAGGAGACAACCCACAAAGCAAAGGGGUAGGUGCAAACGUGCUCCAGUGCUUUUAUUAAAAACAGUCAAAACAAACGGUGUUCAAAACAAAGUGCAGUGCAAAAAUGCAGUAAAUAAAUAAUCCAUAAAAUCAUGGUGCUGGUGGAAGUUAAGAGUAAUCCAAUAAAUAAUCCUAUAAAAGUGGUGCUUAAAAACACAAGCAGGGAACUGUCUUUUAAAAUCAAGUCCCUGGUUCUUCCCUUUCAAAAUGUACAUUUCUCUGGCUUAUCCUAUUAGGAUCUUGCAGCCCAGAGAGAUGUCAAACCAACAGGAGCAGAAAACCUUUUAAUCCUGCUUGUGUCCCCGCCACCAACCCCACAGCGUUUCACAGGGAGCCAUUCAGCCCUGCUCUGCUCACACCACUGCCGAUAUCUAC